AUGUAUUUAUUUUUUUGCUAAAAGGGGUAGUUUUUCGUGUUUUACGUCUUACAUAACCCACGUUUCUCUCUGUUUUUCUCUGACCUAGACCAAUCCCCUCUCUCUCUUUCUCUGACCUAGAACAGGGCACCAUAGCCGCAUCUAUCUUCCUCAGUCUUCUGCAACAACAGCCGCAUAAAUAUUCUCGGAAAAUCCUUGGUCUCCCAGAACCGCGCUUCAAGUUUCCGCCAUGAAUAUCAAACUUCUUUUCAUCUCUCUGUUUCUUCAGAGGGUCGAAAGAUUUGAUGGGGGAGUGCAGUGUUGGAGGCUUGAUCCUGGUUGAUGUAGAUUUCACAGAUCCCUGAAUAUGGAAGUGAUUCAGAGAAACUCACUGCUAUGUUUUGUGGACAAUUCAAAGGAUUCCUUCUUUCUCCGUCCUUUCCUGCAAAUGGUAGAUUGGUCUUUCUUUGUUGUUAAUCUCUCUUUUUGUUUGGCUUCAAUUUGAGGUUGGCUCUCUGGUUUCAAUUGACUUUCAAACCUGAACAAUUUUGCUUUGCUUUUUUUUGGUUUUUUAGAGGGUCUUCUUUCUCAGAUUCCAACUUUCAAUUCUAAAUCUUCUGUCCCUGCUAAGCCCUACUGACGACUCGUUUUGGUUAUCUUCUGUUGUUUGGCCUUUCUCUGGUUUGCUCUUUUUUUUUUUCUAGAAUUCUGCGGAAGAGUUGGUAGAGUUUGCAUCAUAAGUAUUUCCGCUGCCCAUCUUUGUCAGUUAAAUUGCUGAGAUCGAAUUAGAGGACCCUUUUAUGCUGUUUGUGGAGUGACAUUAGUCUUUUCUCUGAACUUUGAUCUCUGUAUCUUUUUUCUUAGAACCCUUCACCCAUGAUUUUUUUUUGUUCACCCUGCUUGUUAAUUUUGCAUAAUUACGAAGGUUGAAGUAGAGGGUUUAAUUUCAAACUUUUUCUAUCCCUCUGCUUCUUGUGUGGGUCAAGAUUUUCGUCCGUGUUUUGAGAUCUGUGAACUCCAUUUUAACUUCCCAGAUCUAUGGAUUGAAGAAUUCAAAUAUUACCGGUCUUGUCUGCCAUACACCUCUCAAGUCAAAUUAAAACGGGGGUUUCCAGUCUUCUCUCUGAAAGUACAAGGCCAAAUCAAAAUGCGUCAGACGCUAAGUUCCUGUCAAAUCUACCAAUGCCUCUUUCUUUUCACCCAAUUGAAUGAAAGAUAUGUAAAUUGGUCUUUCUCCCAAACUAAAAGAAAUUACUGUAAAAAAAAAAAAAAAAUUUACCGUCCUAGUUAAUGCAUGGUACUACCCUCCUAAUCAAUGUAGGAUAGAUUUGAUUUGAGUACGGAGUUUUGUUAUUCAAAGUUACUGAAGAUUGAUGUGGUGUGUGGGCCAUUUGUAUGGGCUAGCUAUUUCAGUUUAUUUUUUAUUACAUUUUUUUGUAAAUUUUUUUUGUUAGUAAUUACAUCUUUAUAUAUUACAAUUAU